GAUGAACGCUGGCGGCGUGCCUAAUACAUGCAAGUCGAGCGAACAGACGAGGAGUUUGCUCCUCUGACGUUAGCGGCGGUCGGGUGAGUAACACGUGUAUAACCUACCUAUAAGACUGUGAUAAUUUUGGGAAACCGGAGCUAAGACCGGAUAAUAUAUUGAACCGCAUUGUGCAAUAGUGAAAGUCGGUUUUUCUUUCACUAAUAGAUGGAUCCGCGCCGCAUUAGGUAGUUGGUAAGGUAACGGCUUACCAAGGCAACGAUGGGUAGCCGACCUGAGCGGGUGGUCGGCCACACGGGGAGUGAGACACGGUACAGACUCCUACGGGAGGCAGCAGUAGGGAAUCUUACGGAAUGGGCGAAAGCCUGACGGAGCAACGCGGCGUGAGUGAUGAAGGACUUCGGAUCGUAAAACUCUGUUAUUAGGGAAGAACAAAUGUGUAAGUAACUAUGCACGUAUUGACGGUACCUGAUCAGAAAGCCCCGGCUAACCACGUG
rnacentral:rRNA from 1 species